AUGUCAAAGAAGAAAAUUCUAGCAGCACUACGAUGUCACCAAGUCCUGGUUUGGAGUCUCAGUCAAUUUUCAGUCAUUGUCGUGGUACAAAUACAAUAAACAAGAAAGAGAAGAAGCGGAGCCACACUGUGGCCACUAGAGGUAACUUCCUAUUUGCAGGUUAUGCUUGAGUGCAUGAUUGCGAGUAAUUUUGACGUCACAUAAUACUAACAUAUUGCUAAGCCAUUGUUAUAUAUUUCUUCUAAGAUCCUGAUUUUGGUCCAGUCAUGUCAGCAAGCACUGCAAGUGGUCUUGCAUUUAACAGCCACUCUCCUGUGAGAUAUUCUUUUGAAGAUCACAAUACAUAUACUCCUGUUGCUAAAGCAACUAAGAACAAGAGCAAGGAUUUGGUU